GAUGAACGCUGGCGGCGUGCCUAACACAUGCAAGUCGAGCGAUGAAGUUUCCUUCGGGAAAUGGAUUAGCGGCGGACGGGUGAGUAACACGUGGGCAACCUGCCUUAUAGAGGGGAAUAGCCUUCCGAAAGGAAGAUUAAUACCGCAUAAUAUUAUCGGAUGGCAUCAUUUGAUAAUCAAAGGAGCAAUCCGCUAUAAGAUGGGCCCGCGUCGCAUUAGUUAGUUGGUGGGGUAAUGGCCUACCAAGGCGACGAUGGUUAGCUGGUCUGAGAGGAUGAUCAGCCACACUGGAACUGAAACACGGUCCAGACUCCUACGGGAGGCAG
rnacentral:rRNA from 1 species